rnacentral:rRNA from 1 species
UGGGGAAUAUUGCACAAUGGGCGCAAGCCUGAUGCAGCCAUGCCGCGUGUGUGAUGAAGGCCUUCGGGUUGUAAAGCACUUUCAGCGGGGAGGAAGGUGUUAAGGCUAAUAACCUUGGCGAUUGAUGUUACCCGCAGAAGAAGCACCGGCUAACUCCGUGCCAUCAGCCGCGGUAAUACGGAGGGUGCAAGCGUUAAUCGGAAUUACUGGGCGUAUAGCGCACGCAGGCGGUCUGUCAAGUCGGAUGUGAAAUCCCCGGGCUCAACCUGGGAACUGCAUUCGAUACUGACAGGCUAGAGUCUGGUAGAGGGGGGUAGAAUACCAGGUGGAGCGGUGAAAUGCGUAGAGAUCUGGAGGAAUACCGGUGGCGAAGGCGGCCCCCUGGACGAAGUCUGACGCUCAGGUGCGAAAGCGGGGGGAGCAAACAGG